UACGUAGGGUGCGAGCGUUGUCCGGAAUUAUUGGGCGUAAAGAGCGCGUAGGCGGUCCGGUAAGUCGGCUGUGAAAGUCAAGGGCUCAACCCUUGAAAGCCGGCCGAUACUGUCGGACUAGAGUCCGGAAGAGGCGAGUGGAAUUCCCGGUGUAGCGGUGAAAUGCGUAGAUAUCUGGAGGAACACCGGUGGCGAAGGCGGCAUCCUGGACCGGUAUUGACGCUGAGGCGCGAAAGCUAGGGGAGCAAACGGG
rnacentral:rRNA from 1 species